CCAAUCGAACUCGGAGAUAGCUGGUUCUCCCCGAAAUAGCUUUAGGGCUAGCCUCAGGUAGUAAGUAUAGGCGGUAGAGCACUGAUCGGGCUAGGGGCCAUAAAGGUUACCGAACCCUGUCAAACUCCGAAUGGAUAUACUGCAGAGCCUGGGAGUCAGACUACGAGUGAUAAGAUCCGUGGUCAAAAGGGAAACAGCCCAGACCACCGGCUAAGGUCCCAAAUGCCGUACUAAGUGGAAAAGGAUGUGGGGAUUCAUAAACAACCAGGAUGUUGGCUCAGAAGCAGCCACCAUUUAAAGAGUGCGUAAUAGCUCACUGGUCGAGAGUCCCUGCGCCGAAAAUUUCCGGGGCUAAAGUACGGAACCGAAGCCGUGGCUGUGCAUGUAAGUGCACGGGGUAGGGGAGCGUUGCCACAGGGGUGAAGCUGGUCUGGAAGGACUGGUGGACUUGUGGGAAGUGAGAAUGUUGGUAUGAGUAGCGAAAAGAAAGGUGAGAAUCCUUUCCACCGAAAGCAUAAGGAUUCCUGAGCAACGAUCGUCGUCUCAGGGUAAGUCGGGACCUAAUCCGAGGCAAAGAGCGUAGGAGAUGGACAACAGGUUGAUAUUCCUGUACCGGCAGCAAUUGUUUGAGCGAAGGAGUGACACAGAAGGGCAGGCAGGCGCGAGACUGGAUUGUCGCGUGCAAGCGUGUAGGGUAGUGUACAGGCAAAUCCGUACACUGAAAGCCUGAGGCGUUACGCGGAGCGAGCAGAGAUGCGAGCGAAGCUGCUGAUCCCACACUGUCGAGAAAAGCUUCUAGUGAGAGAGCUGCCGCCCGUACCGUAAACCGACACAGGUAUGCGGGGAGAGAAUCCUAAGGUGCGCGGGAGAACCCUCGUUAAGGAACUCGGCAAAAUGUACCCGUAACUUCGGGAUAAGGGUAGCCGUCUUGGUGAAGGAGCUUGCCUCUGGAGCUGAAGGCGGUCGCAGAGAAGAGGCCCAAGCGACUGUUUACCACAAACACAGGUGCCUGCUAAAGCGAAAGCUGACGUAUAGGUGCUGACACCUGCCCAGUGCUGGAAGGUUAAGGAAGGAUGUCCGGGCAACCAAAGCAUUCGACCGAAGCCCCAGUGAACGGCGGCCGUAACUAUAACGGUCCUAAGGUAGCGAAAUUCCUUGUCGGGUAAGUUCCGACCCGCACGAAAGGUGUAACGAUUUGGGCACUGUCUCAACGAGGGACCCGGUGAAAUUGAAAUACCUGUGAAGAUGCAGGUUACCCGCGACUGGACAGAAAGACCCCAUGGAGCUUUACUGUAACCUGACAUUGGGUUUUGUUGUAUUACGUACAGGAUAGGUGGGAGGCUUGGAAGGCUGGACGCUAGUCUGGCUGGAGCCGGCGUUGGGAUACCACCCUUGAUACAACGGAAUUCUAACCGAGAGAGUAACGAAAUCCGGGACAGUGUCAGGCGGGCAGUUUGACUGGGGCGGUCGCCUCCGAAAGAGUAACGGAGGCGCCCAAAGGUUCCCUCAGCGCGGCCGGAAAUCGCGCGAAGAGUGUAAAGGCAGAAGGGAGCUUGACUGCGAGCCAAACACGGCGAGCAGGUACGAAAGUAGGGCUUAGUGAUCCGGUGGUACCGAGUGGAAGGGCCAUCGCUCAACGGAUAAAAGCUACCCUGGGGAUAACAGGCUAAUCUCUCCCAAGAGUCCAUAUCGACGGGGAGGUUUGGCACCUCGAUGUCGGCUCAUCACAUCCUGGGGCUGAAGUCGGUCCCAAGGGUUGGGCUGUUCGCCCAUUAAAGUGGUACGUGAGCUGGGUUCAGAACGUCGUGAGACAGUUCGGUCCCUAUCCAUCGCGGGCGCAAGAGAUUUGAAGGGGUCUGCUCCUAGUACGAGAGGACCGGAGUGGACGGACCGCUGGUGUACCAGUUAUUCCGCCAGGAGUACAGCUGGGUAGCUACGUCCGGACUGGAUAAACGCUGAAAGCAUCUAAGCGUGAAGCCAUCCUUAAGAUGAGAUCUCUCACAGAGCAAUCUGGUAAGACACCUUAAAGAAGAUGAGGUAGAUAGGCCGGGAGUGUAAGUGCAGCAAUGUAUUGAGCUGACCG
rnacentral:rRNA from 1 species